rnacentral:rRNA from 1 species
AAACCAACAGGGAUUGCCUCAGUAACGGCGAGUGAAGCGGCAACAGCUCAAAUUUGAAAUCUGGCCUCACGGUCCGAGUUGUAAUUUGUAGAGGAUGCUUUUGGCAAGGUACUUUCCGAGUUCCCUGGAACGGGACGCCAUAGAGGGUGAGAGCCCCGUACGGUCAGACCACCGAGCCUCUGUAAAGCUCCUUCGACGAGUCGAGUAGUUUGGGAAUGCUGCUCUAAAUGGGAGGUGUACGUCUUCUAAAGCUAAAUACCGGCCAGAGACCGAUAGCGCACAAGUAGAGUGAUCGAAAGAUGAAAAGCACUUUGAAAAGAGGGUUAAAAAGUACGUGAAAUUGUUGAAAGGGAAGCAUUCAUGACCAGACUUGGGCUUGGUUGAACAUCCGGCGUUCUCGCCGGUGCACUCUGCCAGUCCAGGCCAGCAUCAGUUUGACCCGGGGGACAAAGGCGGCGGGAAUGUGGCUCCCCUCGGGGAGUGUUAUAGCCCGUCGUGUAAUGCCCUGGGUUGGACUGAGGAACGCGCUUCGGCACGGAUGCUGGCGUAAUGGUCAUCAAUGACCCGUCUUG